rnacentral:rRNA from 1 species
UACGUAGGGCGCAAGCGUUGUCCGGAAUCAUUGGGCGUAAAGAGCUCGUAGGUGGUCUGUUACGUCUGCUGUGAAAUCCUAGGGCUUAACCCUGGGCCUGCAGUGGAUACGGGCAGACUAGAGGUAGGUAGGGGAGAAUGGAAUUCCUGGUGUAGCGGUGGAAUGCGCAGAUAUCAGGAGGAACACCGGUGGCGAAGGCGGGUCUCUGGGCAGUAACUGACGCUGAGGAGCGAAAGCGUGGGGAGCGAACAGG